GAUGAACGCUGGCGGCGUGCCUAAUACAUGCAAGUCGAGCGAACAGAUGAGGAGCUUGCUCCUCUGACGUUAGCGGCGGACGGGUGAGUAACACGUGGAUAACCUACCUAUAAGACUGGGAUAACUUCGGGAAACCGGAGCUAAUACCGGAUAAUAUAUUGAACCGCAUGGUUCAAUAGUGAAAGACGGUUUUGCUGUCACUUAUAGAUGGAUCCGCGCCGCAUUAGCUAGUUGGUAAGGGAACGGCUUACCAAGGCAACGAUGCGUAGCCGACCUGAGAGGGUGAUCGGCCACACUGGAACUGAGACACGGUCCAGACUCCUACGGGAGGCAGCAGUAGGGAAUCUUCCGCAAUGGGCGAAAGCCUGACGGAGCAACGCCGCGUGAGUGAUGAAGGUCUUCGGAUCGUAAAACUCUGUUAUUAGGGAAGAACAAAUGUGUAAGUAACUAUGCACGUCUUGACGGUACCUAAUCAGAAAGCCACGGCUAACUACGUG
rnacentral:rRNA from 1 species